rnacentral:rRNA from 1 species
GAUGAACGCUAGCGGCAGGCUUAACACAUGCAAGUCGAGGGGUAUUGGUUUUCGGACCAAGAGACCGGCGCACGGGUGCGUAACGCGUAUGCAAUCUACCUUUUGCAGAGGGAUAGCCCCAGAGAAAUUUGGAUUAAUACCUCAUAGUAUAGUACUUUGGCAUCAAGGAACUAUUAAAGUCACAACGGCAAAGAUGAGCAUGCGUCCCAUUAGCUAGUUGGUAAGGUAACGGCUUACCAAGGCUACGAUGGGUAGGGGUCCUGAGAGGGAGAUCCCCCCACACUGGUACUGAGACACGGACCAGACUCCUACGGGAGCAGCAGUGAGGAAUAUUGGACAAUGGGCGCAAGCCUGAUCCAGCCAUGCCGCGUGCAGGAUGACGGUCCUAUGGAUUGUAAACUGCUUUUAUACAGGAAGAAACACUCCGACGUGUCGGAGCUUGACGGUACUGUAAGAAUAAGGAUCGGCUAACUCCGUGCCAGCAGCCGACGG